UUCUCUUCUACGAAUAUUUUACUGGUAGAUUCCCCAGACUUUGAUGCUCCACCUCCCAGGAUAGCUUCCAUGUAUCUAAGAGCGGGUGUUUUGACUGUAGGGCAGCAUUCUCAUGGGAACCCUAAUUGCUCCUAUGAUUUUCAUAGGGGCUUUCAUUUCCUUAUGUGCAAUACAAAACUGUUUCAGUAUUUGGCCCUAGCCAUAUGAAAAUACUAGUUGAACAAAUGGGAUUCACUGUUUUUCAUGAAAGGUUAAUAGUCUAAGACAUUAUUUUUGAGUUCACCAUCCUAUUAUCCAGGAGACUUGCCUCUACAAUAGUACUUCCCAGGCUUUACAGUAUGAUUUCCCUUAGAAGAAUGAAUGAAAUAGAAGAAUUCAAAUACCAUAUUAUGGAAUGAAACUUUGUUUUCUUCUUCUAGUAGUAUCAUAAACCAUGUGAAAAUAUCCACUGGAAAGAUUAAGAAAGUGUCACCUGAGUACCCACUAUGUUUCUUUAUUAACUUGCAUCACACAGUUGUUUUGUAAAACAAGAGGCAUUGGAAAGAUGGGAUACUCCCUGAACCAUAAAUGUGAGUCCCAGAUGGAAAGGCUGGAGCCAAGGAUAAUGACUGUGUAAUUAAAGAACAACAAAAGAGGAGCAGAAUUCAUUUAGACAACAGAAAACACUUAAACGCUGUCAGAACCAUGCAUGGGGCUUUGAUUGUUGUAAAUCUGAGACUAUUGAAUCAUUGAAAGAGCUAAAACAUUUACCUCAACAUCUGCAGUUGUGUAACUAAACUAGUUCAUAUGUGUUGAUCACACUUACAAUAAAUCCUUUUGUUCAUUGACAGUAAGGUCCACGACUCUCACUGGAUGCCUGCAACUGGAGAGAGAACCAAGCCUAUAUACUAUGGUUCUUUUAUAUGUUCAAUUAAAAAAUUAUGCACAAGAAGAUGUAAGAGUGGCUAAGAAAUUUCUUGAAAGUAUUCAACAUCUUUAGUGAUUAGGAGAAAACAAACUAAAUGUACUUUGAGAUUUCAUAUGAUCCAAGUCCAAAUGGUCAAGAUCAAGAAAACAACUGAAAACAAAUGUGUCUGUCUAUGAGGGAAGGGAAGGGAACCCUAAUUUAUUGGUGGUGGGAUUUCAAACUGCUUCAACAACUAUGGAAGUCAGGGUAGAGAAAUCUAAAAUGACAAACAUGUAUGUACAAACAUGUAUGUACAAUGUCAUCGUGUUAUACUAACUCCAUGGCAAAUACCCAAAUACCUCCAUAUCUGGCUCUACAAAUAAUUACUCAACCAUUUCAUUAUCAGUCAACUCACAAUAGCUAGAAAAUGGGCAACAUAAAUGGCCUAUAACUGAUGAAGGGAUAAUAAAAGUGUGGUACAUAUAGAAAAUGGAAUUCUGUUCAUCUAUAAAAAAAGAAAUAAUACUUUUUCAGGUAAGUGGGUUGAAGUGGAAUAUAUUCUGCUGGAUGAGAUAACCCACACCAAGAAGCAUAAACAUAGAAUAUUCUCCCAAAUCUCUGACUCCUAACUCUAAAUCUUUAGGCUUGAGUAUACAACCUGAAGUAACUGGAGGAAUCCGAAGAUGUAUAAAGGACCAUGGAGGAAUCAGAAAUAUAAAUAGCAUUAGAGAGGUGGCUAUUGGGGCAUCGAUGCUAUGAAGGCAGAAAGUGAAAAAUGAUGGGUUAUUGCCCUUCAUUGUCUAACAGAACUUAAAGGUAAAUCACUAUUGCUAGAGACACAGUCCAGACUGGACAGAGAACAUCAUCAUGUUAGAUGUGAUCUGGAAGCAUCCUCCCUUAGGAUCAGCUCUGUUAGUAUCCAAAGGUGUUACACAAGCUAUUAGGGAGAAAAGCAACCAAUAGUCCCACCCAGCUAUAAGCUCAUGAAUCACCAGUCCAACAAGAUAUUCCCAGUGGUGUAAGUACACCACAUUUUAAUCAACUGUUUAAUUGGAUUUAAUGGACAACUCAGUGGAAUAAAAAUCUUUUUCAGUACUGUACGAAAAGUCAAGUACUCAUGAUUAGAUAGCUCAUAGACUUGAGAAGAACUUACCAUUGCUAUCUUACUAAACUACUAUUUCUAACCGUACUCCAAAUCCUCUAAUACCCAAAGAUAAGUAAUUCUUUCACCACUAAUCAAAGAAAUUUCUAAUAUAGAAAAAAAUGACAAAGGGUGGUACAACUCACAUUGGUGCAUCUACAAUACACUAAUGCAUCGAAGAAACAUCUUACAAGAGUAAAAAAGAAAGAUUGAGUGAAAAAAUUUGCUGAGAGAUGCAGUCUUCUAGUCAUGUCAAGGAAGGUGUACCCAAGAAAUUACAACAACAUAACUGCCUAGCCAACACCUAUAUAAAGAUAACGUUAGUCAGCAUCCCGACACAGAUGGAACAAAUUGCAGAACACACCACCCUUAGAUGGACAGGUCGUCAGUAGCUGCAGAAUGAAGAAUCAAUUUUCUUUAGGAAACUAAAGGUUAUUCUGUUCCAAAUGAUCAUCCCUAAACAAAAGUAUGCAUAAACAUCAAUGAAUAUACUCAGCACAGAGAUCUUUAUCUGCCUAUUUCUUACUUGCCUACCUUGGACAAUGAAGGAACUGGGCUCAAACCGUUGUAGCUCGAGUUAUAGAAACAAUAUGGUCAGAAGCAGCCUAUUUAACUGACAGUUGAGGGCCAAGACUAUAUAGAAAAUACUUUUCUUGAUAUUGCAACUGUUCAGGAUUCAAAGGCCUAUUUUACUCCUUAAAAAAAUCUUACUUAACUGUUCUACCCAAACUGUUCUGAAACUACGCGUUGGAGCUUCAACAGAAGGAAUGAUGGAUAGCAUGUUCUGUGGUGACUAUUAACUCCAUCAUCCUUACUUCGGUUCUAAAUAAAGACUUUGGUCUUUGAACUGCCCAAGCCAGUCUUUUCCCCUAAGUAAAGAGCACUCAAUAAA